CGUAGGGUGCAGGCGUUUAAUCGGAAUUACUGGGCGUAAAGCGUGCGCAGGCGGUUUGCUAAGACAGGUGUGAAAUCCCCGGGCUUAACCUGGGAACUGCGCUUGUAACUGGCAGGCUAGAGUGUGGCAGAGGGGGUGGAAUUCCACGUGUAGCAGUGAAAUGCGUAGAGAUGUGGAGGAACACCGAUGGCGAAGGCAGCCCCCUGGGCUAACACUGACGCUCAUGCACGAAAGCGUGGGGAGCAAACAGGAUUAGAUACCCUGGUAGUCCACGCCCUAAACUAUGUCAACUGGUUGUCGGGGAAGCAAUUCCUUGGUAACGAAGCUAACGCGUGAAGUUGACCGCCUGGGGAGUACGGCCGCAAGGUUA
rnacentral:rRNA from 1 species